rnacentral:sRNA from 1 species
GUAGAUCCUAAGCGAGCCUGUGGCAGUGGGAGUCAGGUGGUUAAGAGAUAAGUGUGGCGCUUUUGGUAUUUUAAUAAAAAAUAAUGAAGUAAUAAAUUAGGGUGGAACCGCGUUUCUGACG